CCGAAGCCGGUGGCCUAACCCCUUGUGGGAGGGAGCCGUCGAAGGUGGGAUCGGCGAUUGGGACGAAGUCGUAACAAGGUAGCCGUACCGGAAGGUGCGGCUGGAUCACCUCCUUU
rnacentral:rRNA from 1 species